AAAAUAAUCCAUAUUCAUCAAUGUUUUCCAUGUGAAAAUAAAAAUCCUUUCCUGACCAGCUCUAGACAGUACGUAGCAGAACGCAGUUGGUAACGAAGCAAUGCUGUUCUCCUCCCAGAGACAGACGCUCUGCCAGAGAAACCAGCAGAAUGGAAACUAAUACCUUAACCCAACGGUCAGACUCGGUGUUUGUGCAGGACAAGUUUCUCUGAGGGGACGGCAUGUCAGAGACAGAUGUACUGGAGAGGAGCAGGGAACUUUUGGAGAUGGGACAGAUGCUGCAGCUGGUACAAGCACCACCUCCUCCGAUCCGGAAGAAGAAUAUGCAGUGAGGAAGCUGCACCACGUGGCCCUGGAAAUAAACCAAGUCUUUGUGGUCUAACAGCCUCUCUAAAUACAGCAAAGUAUGGACUCUGCUAAUACCGUGAGCAGCACCGCGUGGCACACCACAGGCCUAGCCGCUGCUGAGCAGGCCCCUCCAAGCCCAUCGCUGUUCGUUAGUCUGAGCGGCAGUAAGGAUGAGGCCAUGACAAGAAGCUGCUAAAUCAAUCGAUUUGCAAGUAUAAUCUGCUGCAGGGGAAGGACAAUAAGUGGAGCUGGUGAAACGAACAGGUGAUGCCUAGAAAAGGAGCCUGGCCUCCAAAGUUUAGCGAGGUGAGGCCCUAAAGGUCAGUGGAGGAGUCAGCUUACAGCAGCAUGCAAAUGUUCAGCGGCUUCGCAAAGGCUUCUCCCAGACUCAGCUGCUCAGGCCGGAAGGGAGCACUGUGAUCAGAUAGCCAGGCUACCAAAUGGCCCCCAGUGACCCCUGCUCAGAGCUCAGUCACGGAACCAGAGCAGAUCUUUCAGGUACACGUCCAGACUGAAAGACUCCGGGUGCUGGGAGGAUUUAGUACGUCCCUGGUAACCUGUUCCAAGGUUGACUAACUUCGCUGUUAAAUAACUAAACUCCUCUCUCUCAUGGAACACAUACUCACCCUGUCCCGAUUGUAAUCCCUUUGUGACUGAAACUCUGCUCAGCCUUGCUGUGUCCUGCUCCACCCCAGAUGUAGGUGCAUGGCAAUGUUGGGUGCAAUGACCACCAUGGCCA
rnacentral:lncRNA from 1 species